CAGCCGCCACGGGAAUACGAAGGGUGCAAGCGUUAAUCGGAAUUACUGGGCGUAAAGCGCGCGUAGGUGGUUUGGUAAGAUGGAUGUGAAAUCCCCGGGCUCAACCUGGGAACUGCAUCCAUAACUGCCUGACUAGAGUACGGUAGAGGGUGGUGGAAUUUCCUGUGUAGCGGUGAAAUGCGUAGAUAUAGGAAGGAACACCAGUGGCGAAGGCGACCACCUGGACUGAUACUGACACUGAGGUGCGAAAGCGUGGGGAGCAAACAGGAUUAGAGACCCCGGUAGUCCCUGUCUCUUAUAC
rnacentral:rRNA from 1 species